rnacentral:rRNA from 1 species
GACGAACGCUGGCGGCGUGCUUAACACAUGCAAGUCGAACGGUGAAGGGACUGGCUUUUGUUGGUCCUGGAUGAGUGGCGAACGGGUGAGUAACACGUGAGUAACCUGCCCCCUUCUUCUGGAUAACCGCAUGAAAGUGUGGCUAAUACGGGAUAUUCUGGGUCUGUCGCAUGACGGGCCCGGGAAAGAUAUUGCUUCGGUGGGGGAUGGGCUCGCGGCCUAUCAGCUUGUUGGUGGGGUGAUGGCCUACCAAGGCGGUGACGGGUAGCCGGCCUGAGAGGGUGGACGGUCACACUGGGACUGAGACACGGCCCAGACUCCUACGGGAGGCAGCAGUGGGGAAUAUUGCACAAUGGGCGCAAGCCUGAUGCAGCGACGCCGCGUGAGGGAUGGAGGCCUUCGGGUUGUAAACCUCUUUCGCCAGUGAAGCAGGCCCGCCUCGUUUGUGGG